rnacentral:rRNA from 1 species
UUUACCUCAACUAAUUAACCCCCCUACUUUAGAGCAAUUCAAAUGAGGUACAGCCCAUUUGAUACAGGAUACAACCUUCACUUACGGGUAAAACCCACCCCACACCUUAAAGUAGGCCUAAAAGCAGCCAUCUUUUAAAAAGCGUCAAAGCUUAGUCCUGACCGUAUUAAUUCAAAAACCUACAUUAACCCCUUCACCCAUACUGAGAACUUCUAUAACCCUAUAGAACCUUUUAUGCUAAAACUAGUAACAAGAGCAAACCCCUCUCUCGUAAUGCAAGCAUAAGCCAGCAAGAACCCAUCACUGGUAAUUAACAACAUAAAUAAGAGUAGCAACCUCACUAGAAAACCCUACUCCCACAACUGUUAACCUAACACCAGAGCAUUUCAAGAAAGAUUAAAAGAAAAAGAAGGAACUCGGCAAAUCCAAGUCCCGCCUGUUUACCAAAAACAUCGCCUCUUGCCUCCCAUAAGAGGUCCAACCUGCCCAGUGACCCUGUUCAACGGCCGCGGUAUCCUAACCGUGCGAAGGUAGCGUAAUCACUUGUUUUCUAAAUAAAGACCUGUAUGAAGGGUAUAACGAGGACUAAACUGUCUCCUUUUUCUAAUCAGUAAACCUAAUCUCCCCG